AUGGAUCCCGCCGACGACGACGGCCAGCACCUCGAAGGUACGCACCCGCCCGCAGGCCGCUCAUCUUCACCCGCCCCGGACACAGACGACGGCGGCAGCGGGUGGGGGAGCGACAAGCCGCCGACGCGCGCGGAGGAGGGGCGCAUCGCCGGGAAGGCCACCAUGGAACCCUCGCCGUCGCCGGAGUCCGCCAUCUCCGACGACGGACGCCCCCAAGUCGUCCUCUCCUCUCCGCCGGGCCCAGAAGACGGCGGCAGCGACGAUCUGACGCGCGCCGUGUCCCAGCUGACGCUCGCGGAGGCGGGGCUCACCGCCGGGAAGGCCGGGUCCGCCCCCCGCGUCGUGGAUCCCUCGCCGCCAGCCUCCACCGUCUCCUCCCAUGCUCACCAAGAUGACGACGAUGUCGCCGGCGUGAACAAGCGGACGCACGCGAGGUUCCUCGUCACCCACGCCGAGGCCGGGCUCAUCAUCGGGGCGGGCGGGUCCGCCGUCGCCGCAGUCGAGGCCCGCUCCGGCGCCCGGGUCAGGCUCUCCCGCCACGACGAGCUCCUCCCCGGCACCGACCGCAGGGUUGUGCUCGUCUCCGGCCUCCUCAGCCAGGUCAUGGAUGCCAUGGAGCUACUGCUCGAGAGGCUCCUUCACCAGGGUGGCCCGGCGUCCGACUCCGAGGCCACGGUAGUGCUUGUGGUGCCUCAGCCCUGCUGCGGCACGCUGAUCGGCAAAGGAGGAUCUGUUAUCAAGUCAUUCACUGAAGCUUCGGAAACUGCAAUUCAGGUCUCACCACAGAACGUCUCCUAUGGCUUCAAUGACAGGCUGAUCACUAUCACAGGACCCUUGGACAAUCGAUUGCGAGCAGUGUUUCUGAUAAUAUUUGAGCUCCUAGAGGACAUUCGUUAUUCUUUUGUACAUGCAGCUGCUACGCCAGACACUCCAAUGAGAUCACCUGUUAACAAGGACGCCCAAGAAUCUCUCACUAUUGCUGUUGCUGAUGAGUAUAUGGGUGCUGUUAUUGGUCGUGGUGGAAGGAUUAUCAAUGAGAUCAGCAAGGUUAGCGGAGCAUGGAUCGACAUCUCAGGCAAGGGGGAGUUCAUACCCGGGACUCGCGACAGGGAGGUGACUAUGAGCGGCACGUCAGAGGCGAUCCGCGCAGCCGAGGCGAUGAUCAUGCACCGCGUCUCCGUGGCCAGCGGCGAGGGCGGCAACUUCACGUGGCGGAGGGUGGAGGGCAGAAGCGGCAAGGGUCUGCUUACCAGGCUGGAUGAGGAGUAG
rnacentral:rRNA from 1 species